rnacentral:hammerhead_ribozyme from 1 species
AUUCAGCUAAUGAGUCCCAUAUGGGACGAAACGCGUGUUCUGGAU